AAGUCGUAACAAGGUUUCCGUAGGUGAACCUGCGGAAGGAUCAUUAUCGAGAUGGGGUCCUCCGGGGCCCGACCUCCAACCCUGUGUUUACGCAUUCUGUUGCCUCGGCGGGGCGUCGCUGCCCACAGUGGGCAGGCGCCGUCGGCCUCGCGGCCGUCGAGCCCCCGCCGGAGGGAAGCUCCAAACUCUUAUAAAUCAGACGUCUGAGCACAAUACAAUACUUCAAAACUUUCAACAACGGAUCUCUUGGUUCUGGCAUCGAUGAAGAACGCAGCGAAAUGCGAUAAGUAAUGUGAAUUGCAGAAUUCAGUGAAUCAUCGAAUCUUUGAACGCACAUUGCGCCCCUUGGUAUUCCGAGGGGCAUGCCUGUUCGAGCGUCAUUUAAAGACCAUCAAGCCCCGGCUUGGGAAUUGGACGUCGCCCCCGCGGGGGGCGCGCCCCAAAGACCUCGGCGGCGGACCAGUGGCCUCAGGCGUAGUAGAAACUUCUUGCCGCCUACAGAGGCCCCGGGCCGCCCGCUCCCAGCGACAACCCCAAUCUUCAAGGUUGACCUCGGAUCAGGUAGGGAUACCCGCUGAACUUAA
rnacentral:rRNA from 1 species